UAGCAUAAUACCCUCCAGUUCAUUUCUACAGUUUGUUACUAGAGAAUUUUCUCUGAACGUGUAGAGGACCUGAAACCUCAAGGAGGAGGCACAUUGUUCUCUCCUGAGCAUGAACGUGGUUUUAGGUGUUGUUUCCACAGCUGCCCAUUGCCACUGAUGAUCGUUCUUCUCCUCCUUUGGACGGUAAGAGAGAGAGGACGCAGUGUGAGUGCU
rnacentral:snoRNA from 1 species